rnacentral:lncRNA from 1 species
AAUGUCAAGAGAACCUCCUUUGUUAUCUUCAUCUGCAUCAUUUUCUUGACAUAGCAAUACUGAUCUAGACCUUGGACAAUCUUCCACUGCAAUGCCUCCGAAGCUAGAACUGCAAACAUCCGAUGUAAGUUGUUGCCCGUCUGCCACUCUGUCGUCCUCAUGUUCUUCAUUCGUUGUCUCCAACUCAUAGCCAUUGUCACUGUGAGUUGACAGGCUAUCGGGUUUAUUUGCACUUUGAUACUGACCUCCAUUGUUUCCAUCAUCCACAGCUUCUACAGCUGAAUUCCCUUUCCGCGCAUACUCCAAAGAACCGCAACAAGGUUCGGAACAAGGACGGUGAAACAUAUUGGAUAUCUGAGUGGCAU